CCUACGGGCGGCAGCAGUGAGGAAUAUUGGUCAAUGGACGAGAGUCUGAACCAGCCAAGUAGCGUGAAGGAUGACUGCCCUAUGGGUUGUAAACUUCUUUUAUAUGGGAAUAAAAUGUUCCACGUGUGGGAUUUUGUAUGUACCAUAUGAAUAAGGAUCGGCUAACUCCGUGCCAGCAGCCGCGGUAAUACGGAGGAUCCGAGCGUUAUCCGGAUUUAUUGGGUUUAAAGGGAGCGUAGGUGGAUUGUUAAGUCAGUUGUGAAAGUUUGCAGCUCAACCGUAAAAUUGCAGUUGAAACUGGCAGUCUUGAGUACAGUAGAGGUGGGCGGAAUUCGUGGUGUAGCGGUGAAAUGCUUAGAUAUCACGAAGAACUCCGAUUGCGAAGGCAGUUCACUGGACUGCAACUGACACUGAGGCUCGAAAGUGUGGGUAUCAAACAGGAUUAGAUACCCGGGUAGUC
rnacentral:rRNA from 1 species